rnacentral:rRNA from 1 species
GCCAGCAGCCAUAUCACAACUGGCAACUCACUGAAGCUAAGCAGGUGUGAGCCUGGCCAGUACCUGGAUGGGAGACAUCCUGGAAAAAACUAAGGUUGCUGCUGGAA